AACCAGCUAAAAUAUUAGCUAAAUGCCAAAUUAGCCUAAAAAACUAAAUAGAAAAACACUUAGGUUUGUCAAAACAGCUAGCACUUCUGCAUUUAAUGUCAGUUUCAACAUGUAAACAAGAUCAAACAUCAGGGAAGGCAGACUGCAGGUGAUUGAACGGGAGCAGCAGUAAAGAAUUAUAUCAUCGGCAUACAAGUAGUACAUGAUAUUUGACUAAUUUACACACAGAUCAAUAUGAAAAAAUCAAAUGUCAUCUAAAAUUGAGCCAUAAGGUGCUUCUUUAAAUUGCUCAGAAAAAGAAUAGCUGAACCAUUGAACAGUGUUCUGUUUAACCCUUUAACACAAAACCUUUAACGUACGGUAACUUUUCAGCUGUUAACACGAUCAGGGUAAUUCCAGUAGAUUCUGAAGGAGAAAAGCAUCUCGACGAGCUGCUGUUCUCCUUCAGAAUCUACUGGAAUUAUUGUGUUAACAAUUAAAAAAAUUACAGCAAAUCAAAGAACAUAAACAAAAGGGUUAAGAGCUGAAAGGUCACAACGUGUCCGUGUCAGACGUGAUGUGGGUCGCUUUUCUUUGUGUGUUCAUCACAGUUUCACCAGUCUGUUCUGUUCUUCCAACCUACUUCAUCCACAAACAUUAUAGAGCAAACAGCUGGAGUUUUAUAAUAAAUGGGAUCCUGACAGGACAUUUUUUCAGCCUCUGAUUUGGUCAUUUUCAUUUGAAACUUAAGAAAACUUCAUGUCAAACUGUAAUAUUUGAAAUCUACAGAACUAAGACAGUUUGAAUCUGGAUAAUAAAAGCAAAUCUUCUAUUUUAAGAGGAAUAUGGUUGUUGAACUUUACACUUUUGUCAUCAUUUAAGUGUUACAAAAUCGCAGACAUGUCAGUCAAACUUGAUCAGGUGGUGUUCAGUUUAACCAAAGUUUAGACAAGAGUGCAGAUCAACACGUGAUCUAAGUGAUCACCUGACUCUGGUUAUCGGUAGCGGAGGAACCGGGAGGGUGCACAUGGAGGAUCUGCUCUGGCUUUCUCUUGUUCCACAUGUUUCCUCUCCUGAACUCGUCCAGGUUUGAUUCAGGUUGAUCGGCUCAGAACACUGAAGACACAGAGGAACCUACCUGCAGACAAUUCAAAACCUAAAAAUGUUCAGUCCAGUUUGUGUUUAUGAGCAUCUUCAAUCCUCAUGGUGACAUCAGGGCAUUUCUCUGCUGGCAGACAGCAACAAUGCUCAUAAAACACAACAGCCCCCUCUGCUGUCUGCAGGAGUCGUCACAAUGCUGCAAUCCUCAGAAGAAGAUGCUGAUCCUUCCAAAGCGCUGAAGCUGGUCCAGGCUGGGAGGGGGCAGGAUAACCUCGAUCAGCACGCCAGUAUUCAGCCAAGACAAACGCUAAAAGACUUGAUGGUCACAAUUUUAGCUUUUAUUCAUACAAUGAUCACACGUAAAGUACGGGAGAUUCAGCAGGAAGAGACAGAUAAAUAUUUAUAUACAUU